rnacentral:snRNA from 1 species
AGAUCUGAGGACAAUCGGCUAGGACAUUGAUCACCUCAUUUGAUAGUAAGGGUUGAUUCAGCUGACUUGGCUGUCUAGGUGGGUGACCCCAUCCUCCCUUGACACUCCAUAUGUGUCCUUCCCAAAGCUGUGUGAACUAGGUUGGUCUAAGAGAAAGACCUUCCCAGAAUACUUAGGUCAAGGGUAUAGGAGUAGUUGUGUUCCCCUGCUAGAAUCUCCAAACAAGCUCUCACGAAAAUGUCAUCUCAUUAAAGGCACAAGAGCCAGCAAUCCUCUUACUGCCCCAGGUGCACAUGUGA